rnacentral:lncRNA from 1 species
CAUUACUGGGUUGGGGGUACAGGGUUUGAGAGCAUUGGCCCUAGCAACAGAAUGCCCACAGGUUUGCUUCCCGAUUCUGUAACACUUGCUGUGUGACCUUUCAUCAGUUCCCUAACCUCUCUGUGCCCUGGUUUCUUCAUCUAGAAAAGGAGAAUAAUAAGAUUACCUCGGGUUUGGCAUUGGAUAAAAUAAUAUAUGCCUGUAGCACACAGUUAAGCACUUAAUAAGUGUGAGCUGUUAUUAUUACUAUUAGUGAGAGUUCUCUCUCAAUGGUACUGUCAAUCCUGUGGUUUCUGAGAAGGACGGAGACCUACACAACACCUCACGGGAGUCUGACCCCGGGAUGGGAGUCGCGCAUCUGCUAUCUCGACCUCCUUUCCAGGACCCCGUGCUCCCCGCUGGAAUGAUGCUUGGGAAGAGCCUGGUACUCACAGCCUGGUUUGCCCUUGCUGUGGCUUACCCCGUCAUACGCCAGGAAGAUGUCACUGAGGCUGAUUCAGAAGAGCCCAUGACUGGAAGACCAGAUGAGCUGAGCACCUCUGUGUGAAGCAACGAGUCCAUCUCAGUACUUUUUUUGAAAUGAAGCUGAUUUUCCAUUAGUUGCGAACAUCACUCUUCUAGCCACAAGUUUUUAAAGAAGAUCCUGAGCUACUGAACAAGGCUUCCGUUCCAUUAUAGGAGACUGAUUAACUGUAAAGGACUAGUAAGACAUAAGAUGUACCAGUUGAGGAUAAACUGAGUGGCGGGACUUUUACCCACACAGAGGGGGGCUAUCUCUUAACCAUGUCCCAUCUCCUGGGGGCUCAAUAAAUGUUGUUUAGAACUGAAUUUUGAGAACGGU